AGGAUUCUUGGAUAAUAAGAGAUAAUACUUUUCAUAGUGUCUACUGUGUGACAGGCACUUUCCAAAUAUUAUCUUACUCAAUCUUCACAAUAACCAUUUUUGUUUUACAAAGCCUUAUUUACAUCUUAGAAUCAAUAUUUUGUAUUGGUUGCAAGGUAGAUGAGCAGUAAGGAUUAGGCAAUUGGGGUUAAGUGACUUGCCUAGGGUCACACAAAGUGUCUGGGCAAGCCUACAGACCAAUGAGGUAAUGAGGAAUCAGAUUCUGCCUCCUUCCUUCCUCUGUCUCCCUCCCACUUUCAGAUAAUCUCUUCAGUUGGUGUCAAGCUGGAAUUCAGUACUGAGAAUACAGUCACACCCUAUGCAGACCUCAGAGCCUUAGAAACAGAUAGAAGUCAAAGGCCAGAACAUGGAGGCAAAAGGUUGGUUAUCUGAGGGAAAGACUCAAAUGACUAUGGCUCCAAAUGUAGGACCAGAGCCAGGAUACCAGUCUACAAGAAAGAAAAAGAGAGUAAGUUUCAAGCAUUAUCAGCCAGAGGUUCAAAUCAUGAUUAAAAUGCAAUUGGGACAGAGCAGGUGAUUAAUAAGCAUCAAAGCAAUAAGUAAUCAGUGGAAAUAUUGGUGAAUAAGUAGUUCACAUAUGGGAAGUUCUUCAUUCUGUUUCAUUCCAGAAGUCCUGCAUCUUAGAUCCAGAGGCAUCUACUUCAAUCCCUGUAUUUUACAGGUCAGUAAACUGAGACCAAAGAGGGGAACUGUCUCAUCCAUGGUCACACACAUGGUGGAAGAACCAGUGACGGGAAUUUCUCUCAUUCUCACCAAUCUGGAAGAACUAGUUACUAAGAUGGAGAUGAUGGUGGACAUAUCAAGUCAUUCUUCAAACAAUAUUUAUGUUGCUGUAUAAAACAUUCUUUUUGUUCUGCUCGUUUAAUUCUUCAUAAUUUCAGGUACCCUCAUCUCAUUCCACUUUUGCCUGAUUUUCCUGAACUGGAAUUCCCGUGUCGAGGGUUCCUAGAGGAUGACAAUAAAUUCAAAGCAUAAUGCA
rnacentral:lncRNA from 1 species